GUGUGUCUGCAGCUUGGUCCAUUGGGUAUCUUUACACCGUGGAACUUUAUCCAACUGUUGUCAGGAGCAUCGCCAGUGGGACUGCCUCUAUGGCCGCCAGAAUAGGAGGUGUGACUGCUCCACAAUUUGGGCUCUUGGGCACCAUAUCCGGACAACUACCCUUCACAAUUUUUGGAACUUUUGCCCUGGCUGCUGCUUUUCUUGGU